rnacentral:rRNA from 1 species
ACACAUGCAAGUCGAGGGGCAGCAUCAUCAAAGCUUGCUUUGAUGGAUGGCGACCGGCGCACGGGUGAGUAACACGUAUCCAACCUGCCGACAACACUGGGAUAGCCUUUCGAAAGAAAGAUUAAUACCGGAUGGCAUAGUUUUCCCGCAUGGGAUAAUUAUUAAAGAAUUUCGGUUGUCGAUGGGGAUGCGUUCCAUUAGGCAGUUGGCGGGGUAACGGCCCACCAAACCUACGAUGGAUAGGGGUUCUGAGAGGAAGGUCCCCCACAUUGGAACUGAGACACGGUCCAAACUCCUACGGGAGGCAGCAGUGAGGAAUAUUGGUCAAUGGACGAGAGUCUGAACCAGCCAAGUAGCGUGAAGGAUGACUGCCCUAUGGGUUGUAAACUUCUUUUAUACGGGAAUAAAGUGAGCCACGUGUGGCUUUUUGUAUGUACCGUAUGAAUAAGGAUCGGCUAACUCCGUGCCAGCAGCCGCGGUAAUACGGAGGAUUCGAGCGUUAUCCGGAUUUAUUGGGUUUAAAGGGAGCGUAGGCGGGUUGUUAAGUCAGUUGUGAAAGUUUGCGGCUCAACCGUAAAAUUGCAGUUGAUACUGGCGACCUUGAGUGCAACAGAGGUAGGCGGAAUUCGUGGUGUAGCGGUGAAAUGCUUAGAUAUCACGGAGAACUCCGAUUGCGAAGGCAGCUUACUGGAUUGUAACUGACGCUGAUGCUCGAAAGUGUGGGUAUCAAACAGGAUUAGAUACCCUGGUAGUCCACACAGUAAACGAUGAAUACUCGCUGUUGGCGAUAUACAGUCAGCGGCCAAGCGAAAGCAUUAAGUAUUCCACCUGGGGAGUACGCCG